rnacentral:rRNA from 1 species
UGGUGGAGUGAUUUGUCUGGUUAAUUCCGUUAACGAGCGAGACCGCGACCUACUAAAUAGCCAUGUCAAUGGCCUGACUGGGUGAAGCUAGAAUGGCGUGGGGCCGUCAAACGCCGCUCCCAGGCUAGUGGAUCUCUGGCCCAUUGGCAGCUGUGCUUCUUAGAGGGACUACCUAUGCUCAAGUAGGAGGAAGUUCGCGGCGAUAACA